GCCAGCAUGGCAUAGUGGUUUGAGUACUGGACUAUGACUCUGGAGACCAGGGUUUGAAUCUCAGUUCAGCCA